UGAGGUGCGAAAGCGUGGGUAGCAAACAGGAUUAGAUACCCUGGUAGUCCACGCCGUAAACGAUGUCGACCAGCCGUUGGGAUCCUUGAGAUCCUUGUGGCGAAGUUAACGCGAUAAGUCGACCGCCUGGGGAGUACGGCCGCAANNUUAAAACUCAAAUGAAUUGACGGGGGCCCGCACAAGCGGUGGAGCAUGUGGUUUAAUUCGAUGCAACGCGAAGAACCUUACCUACCCUUGACAUCCUGCGAACUUGAUAGAGAUACCUUGGUGCCUUCGGGAACGCAGAGACAGGUGCUGCAUGGCUGUCGUCAGCUCGUGUUGUGAAAUGUUGGGUUAAGUCCCGUAACGAGCGCAACCCUUGUCCUUAUUUGCCAGCGCGUAAUGGCGGGAACUCUAAGGAGACUGCCGGUGACAAACCGGAGGAAGGUGGGGGGGACGUCAAGUCAUCAUGGCCCUUACGCGUAGGGCUACACACGUGCUACAAUGGCCGGCACAAAGGGCUGCGAACUCGCGAGAGUAAGCGAAUCCCAUAAAGCCCGUCUCAGUCCGGAUCGGAGUCUGCAACUCGACUCCGUGAAGUCGGAAUCGCUAGUAAUCGUGAAUCAGAAUGUCACGGUGAAUACGUUCCCGGGCCUUGUACACACCGCCCGUCACACCAUGGAAGUGGACUGCACCAGAAGUGGUUAGCCUAACUUCGGAAGGCGAUCACCACGGUGUGGUUCAUGACUGGGGUGAA
rnacentral:rRNA from 1 species